rnacentral:tRNA from 3 species
AGAAAUUUAGGUUAAUAAGACCAAAAGCCUUCAAAGCUUUCAGUAAGAGUUCAAAUCUCUUAACUUCUG